AGACUCUUCCUACGGCGACUGACACCUCAGACACGCGUUGUGGGGGGCGGCGCUCUGGCUCCGGGGCUGUGCCCAGCGCGAGCGUGGCCGGCACCCACUUGCUGCAGAGCCGGCACUGCACUGGGGUUCUUGGGGGCGGCUCCUCCAGACGUCUCUGCGGGUUGUCGGGUGCUGCCGAGUUGGGUUGGGGGACGCUACAGGUAGUGGGUCCGGAGCAGCGGCUGGCCCCUCAUCUCACUGCCCUUCCUCGGACCCCACCGUCCUCUGGAAGCUUGUGCAGGGCACCUGCCACUGUGACCACCUGGACGCAGAUACCUGCUUUCCCACAACAGCAAGGAAGAACCAUGGCCCAGUUUCUACGAGACUUUUCUGUGCCUCCUUUGCCCAUGCCAGGCCUCUUGCUAGGAAUAUCCUUCAGACAUCAGAUCAUUCUGUUUAUCUUUCGUGAUUCUACUCCCCUGUGAUCUCCUAGGAAGCUUCACUUGACAGGGUCACUGUCAUUCGGGGACGUGGCUGUGGGCUUCACCCGGAAAGAGUGGCAGCAGCUGGACCUGGAGCAGAGGACCCUGUACCAGGAUGUGA
rnacentral:lncRNA from 10 species